rnacentral:rRNA from 1 species
AGUGAACGCUGGCGGUAGGCCUAACACAUGCAAGUCGAACGGCGGCACAGUAAGAGCUUGCUCUUACGGGUGGCGAGUGGCGGACGGGUGAGGAAUACAUCGGAAUCUACUUUUUCGUGGGGGAUAACGUAGGGAAACUUACGCUAAUACCGCAUACGACCUACGGGUGAAAGCAGGGGAUCUUCGGACCUUGCGCGAUUGAAUGAGCCGAUGUCGGAUUAGCUAGUUGGCGGGGUAAAGGCCCACCAAGGCGACGAUCCGUAGCUGGUCUGAGAGGAUGAUCAGCCACACUGGAACUGAGACACGGUCCAGACUCCUACGGGAGGCAGCAGUGGGGAAUUUUGGACAAUGGGCGCAAGCCUGAUCCAGCCAUGCCGCGUGGGUGAAGAAGGCCUUCGGGUUGUAAAGCCCUUUUGUUGGGAAAGAAAAGCAGCAGGUUAAUACCCCGCUGUUCUGACGGUACCCAAAGAAUAAGCACCGGCUAACUUCGUG